GAUGAACGCUGGCGGCGUGCCUAAUACAUGCAAGUCGAGCGAACGGACGAGAAGCUUGCUUCUCUGAUGUUAGCGGCGGACGGGUGAGUAACACGUGGAUAACCUACCUAUAAGACUGGGAUAACUUCGGGAAACCGUAGCUAAUACCGGAUAAUAUUUUGAACCGCAUGGUUCAAAAGUGAAAGACGGUCUUGCUGUCACUUAUAGAUGGAUCCGCGCUGCAUUAGCUAGUUGGUAAGGUAACGCCUUACCAAGGCAACGAUGCAUAGCCGACCUGAGAGGGUGAUCGGCCACACUGGAACUGAGACACGGUCCAGACUCCUACGGGAGGCAGCAGUAGGGAAUCUUCCGCAAUGGGCGAAAGCCUGACGGAGCAACGCCGCGUGAGUGAUGAAGGUCUUCGGAUCGUAAAACUCUGUUAUUAGGGAAGAACAUAUGUGUAAGUAACUGUGCACAUCUUGACGGUACCUAAUCAGAAAGCCACGGCUAACUACGUG
rnacentral:rRNA from 1 species